GGGUACUGCAACUCAAUUGACACACCUGCCUAUCUUUUAGGGGUUGGUUUGGUUUGUGUCAAUGUCAGUGAGGAAGAGUUCUAAAAGUUCCUGUCUAGGAGUUUUGAGCAGAUUCAUCUCUGCUGAUUUUAAGAAUUAAAAAGCAGGAAAAACAAAAACAACAAUGGCAACAGCAACAAAGCAAGAAAAACCUCAGACACAGCAGGUAGGAAUAGGUAACAGACUUUGUAAAUGGACACCAGGAGAGGAAUAUAAAGACUCAACCUCAGAUGGCCAGAGCAGACCUCCAUCAGGGUGAGAGGCAGCAUUCCCUGAGAUGCAUUCUGUGUUCCAGGGAGGAGGACAGUGCAGGCUUUGAGAAAGUGUUUGCAGUUGAAAGUAGGGAGGGGAGAGCUCGGCUUUUCUGCUGUCCAAAACUGUGGCUGGGGAGCUAAGUCAGGCUGCCUGUUUCUAGCCUCUGGGCUCAGCGCACAUGGUGGUGGUGGGGAACCUCAGCCGGUUCCAGACUCCAUGCGUGGCAAAUUUCCUGACGCCUUGGGCCUGUCUCAGGUCCUGGUUUUGGAAGGAUUUUUCCUUUAUCUCAGACCCUUUACAUACAAAGGAUAAGGGAGUGCACUUUUUAAAAAAUAUUAUUUAUUUAAAAAUGUGUAUGAGUACACUGUCGCUGUCUUCAGAUCCCACUACAGAUGGUCGCGAGCCACCAUGUGGUUGCUGGGAUUUGAACUCAGGACCUCUGGAAGAGCAGUCGGUGCUCUUAAACGCUGAGCCAUCUCUGCAGCCCCAGGAAUGCACUUUUGAUCUGGUUACUUCCCAUUGAUGUAGGGGCUGUCAUUUUAAGGUUCUUUAGGUCUGAAGUCACUCUGAAAGAAGAUCAUUUCGCGUGGUAAACCAGGUAGUGGCAGUGAUGCAGGCCAGGAGGAACUUCUGUGAAACGUUUAAGGGCUAGAGAGAUGGCUCAGGGGUUAAGAGGUCCUGAGUUCAAUUCCCAGCCACCACAUGGUGGCUCACAACCAUCUAUGAUAGGAUAGGAUGCCCUCUUCAGGUGUGUCUGAAAACAGGUACAAUGUGCUCAUAUACAUAAAGUAAAUAGAUAAGUCUUUAAAAGAAGUUUAAAGGACAGUAAACAUAUAAGUUCCAGAACACUAAAGAGGAAGGGAGUGAGUAAAGACGAGCCAAAGUGGGAGGGAACCAAGAGCCCAUACACAGAAGGCUUCCGGAAUUCUCUAUGCCUGGUACCUAAGUUUUUGGACCCUACUUUGAAUCAAUCUGUUCGCAGCGUUCCUGGAAGGGAGUGCGAUCCUUCGUGGGAUGCAGAGGUCUUGGUCUCUCCAAUUUUGGAGUACCGUGGUGGCUAAAGAGUUGAUCACAAAAGGCAUCAGAUUGAUCUGAACUUUCUUUAAUGUUCUCGCGGAGUUGUGAGACACAGAAGUUAAUCGAUGUAAGGAAACCUCCAGCCCUGCUAUUCCCAUUCCGAGUCCCAAAAGGAUGCCCGUAUUUCGGAGCUUUCCCGUGAUCGCGCUCGAGGUCUAGUAAGACACGGAGGCAUCCAUAGAGUUUAAAGCUGUUGGCCUUUUGCUGGGGCAGUCUCUCAGCUACUAACCCAUCCUGACUUCUCUGCCACUCUGUCUUCCCGUGUGGUUCUCACCGCACGCUUCGAGCUCCACCUCCCUUCUUCCUCCUUCCAGUUUCUUCCGCCUGCCGGAGUUUCCUGCAUCUCUGCCAGGUCUCCGCCGUAAUGUCCUGUCGGUUAUGACAUACAAAGCCACAUUCCGGUCCGAAGCAAUCAGCAGCAAGACAACGCCCAAUCUUUCUCUUCCGGCUGCCCUUUGGUGCUGAGGGCUCUUGAACUGCACCGCCGAGGCACUUUGCUUUUUAACAUGAUUAUCUCAGAGAUUCAUAUUCUGGGCAGGGGAGAUAGGACAAGCAUUUACAUAUAGAAAACUGGUGAUGGGCCAUAGAAAUGACAAUAGCAAAAUCCUGCCAGCCUUUAGGUCUCUGUGGGCACGGCAGUGAACAACCGAAGAAUAAGGAACACAUCUUCAUAAGACUGAGGACAGGCUGCAUGGCUCCUUCAGCUCCUAUUGCAGUAGGCUUAGUGACAGGCCCUGGGUCCUUGUGGGGAGUGAGGGAGCCAGUAGGGGAUGUAAAGACAAAGGCACCUUUCCAGUCAGAGGGUAAGGGCAUAGGCAUUUCUUCCGUUGUAGGACAGUCACCAGAGAAGACUGCUUGGACAUGGCUUUAAGCCAAUAGCUGGCGGUGACUACACUGGGUGUUCAGAAUCCUGCUGUAGCUCGGAGCUUCUCUCAGGGUGAGAUGUUAAGCACAAAACAAACAUAUCCUGGGUUGGCGUAGUUCAUCUAACAAGAACAGUAGUCAGAAGCAGAAGUACAGAAGCCAAAAAGCAAGGUUGGGACAUUUAGAGACUCUUCCAGAACUGUGGACUGUGAUGGAUUAAUUGGGUCUUUGUCUUUGGCAGGUGGUGCUGUCUCCAUGCUGAGUUUCACAGCCUGAAUGGCACUCCCAUCAUGGAGUCAGUUGUACUAAGAUCUGGAGGCCUGGUACAGGUCCACAACCCCCAAAGAAAGAGUCCUGUUUUCUGGGAAAGACAGGGGCACAGUCAAAAAGAGUUUCUGAUGGACCUCUUCUUUGCCCAAAAGCUUUUCUUUCUGUUGAAAUUCCACAGGGAAAACUCGUGUGCCAGAGACACAGUAAUGAGAGGUUGUAGGUUAGCUGUAAAUAAUGGUUUAUUUUAGGGUUUUCUAAGGCCACACCAGCCCCCACUAUUAAAUUCUUGCUUGAUUCAUAUAAACAGAAAGAUUCCAGAACAAGCAGAGGGAAGAAUAUCUUGGUUGACAGCAACAAGAGAUUAUGGCCCCUCAACCAAUGUAUAGACUUGAGCAGGUUUGUAAUUCCAGAACUCAAAUGAAGGGAAAUCUGGGUCCUAUCGAGGAAGGACAUUGGUACCAAAAGUUUUACUGUUGAUCUUUCUUCUGUCCUUUCCUCGGGGGAUGUAUGACCUUUUACCAAGGUAAUUGCAUAGUGGAGAAAGGUAAAUAACAGGUGCCAAGGAAAUAGGUCACUUGGUCAAGUGCUUGCCACUCAAGCAUGAAGGCUUGGUGAAUAUACACGACCAGGCUCACUCACGUAGGUCUGACAGCACAAACAGGUGAAGAAGUGAGCCAACAGCCUCUGCUUUCUAUUCCUUCUAAAUGUCUCCUGCCCCAGAACACACCAGUGACCUCAGGGGGUGUGCCCUAUGGCUGGUUGACUGUGGAAGAGGAGGUCCUGGUUUACAGAUGGUUCUGUGUGAUGUGUGGAACAGAUAGAGGUGCAGCAUUACAGCCUUUUCUGGGUCAACCCUAAAGGAAAUGGCGAAGGGAAAUCUUUGUAGGGGAAAGAACCUUGGGCAAUGCACGCAGUCAUGCAUCUGGCUUAGAAAGAAUAUGUCCAGAUGAGUGGUUACACACUGGUCAUGGUCUGUGGCCAGUGGUUUGGCUGGGAAGUUGGGAACUUGGAAAGGACCAUGACUAGGAAAUUGGUGAGAGAGACGCUUGGGGAUAGAUCUCUCCAAAUGGACAGAGGAUACGAAGGUACCAUGUUUCACUAGGUGCUCACCCAAAGGCGAUGUCAGCAGAGGAGGACUUCAAUUAUCAAAUGGAUAGUGGAGUAGACACUAUGAUCUUUCUAUGCAUAGAAGCCAACCUUCACCCCACCCCCACCCAUCCCUGUCAUUGCCCAAACAGGCCCAUGAACAAGGGUGGUGGUUAUGCUUGGGUUCAACAACAUGGACUUCUCCUCACCAAGGCUGAGGUCCAGGUUCACGGAUUUUGUAUCAAAAAGUUAAAAUGGCCAGCAAGAUGACUGAGAAGAAAUUAGUCUAGUCUGUUAAUAAAAACCAUGUAGAUGCUGACGAGGAGGUAUACAUCCGGAAGAAGGGGGCAGGGGUUGGGGAUUUGGCUCAGUGGUAGAGCGCUUGCCUAGGAAGCGCAAGGUCCUGGGUUCAAUCCCCAGCCCCGAAAAAAAGAAAAGAAAAAAAAAAAAAAGAAAGAAGGGGGCAAAGUUCUCCAGAAUGCUGUCCUGCUCUGAACCAGCAUCUGACCUCUGUUCCAGGGGCAGGAACCAUGUCAUGCUGUCCCUUACACAUGGUCAAGCAGGACUGGGCACACCGUCAGAACCAAUGUUAUGAAAAAGGCCAUGUUCCAAAAGCAGUCUACAGAUCAAAUAUAAUCCAUAUCAAGAUUCCAAUGAUAUAGAAAACUUAUCCAAAGAAAUAGGAAAACUUCUAAAAUUUAUAUGGAAGCAAAAUGACUUCAAAUGAUCAAAGCAAGCCUGAGCCAAAUGAACAGUGCUGACAGAAUCACAGAGCCUGAUGUCAAACUUAAGUAUGGAGGCCUCGUAUCCAAAGCAGAAGGGCAUAACAACAGAAAUGUAAAUCAAUAAGUUAGAAAUCCACAGGUACAGUGACCUAACCUUUGCUAAAAGUGUCACAUUGGAGAAAAGAAAUGAACCUGGUAACUCACAUGCAGGAGACAAAAAUUAGAGUCCUACUAGAAUCAAUUUAAAUAAGUAAACGUAAGACUUGAAACUCUGAAGCUGUAGCAAGAGCACAGAGAAAACAUUUUCAGAUAUGGACAUAAAGGCAAGCAACAUGUUAAGAUGGCUUGCCUCCAAGCCUGCUGCCUUGAGUUCAAAUCCCAGAAUCACACAGUAGAAGGAAAGAAAAAAAUUGUCCAUCCCAGUUCUUUUGGAACUCUUAUACCAAACAUCCAUAUUUAAUAAAUAUGUCUUCUAUAAUUAUCAUUUUUUCUUUUUUAAAGAUUUUAUUUAUUUUAUUUAUAUGAGUAUACUAUAGGUAUCUUCAUACAUACCAGAAGAGGGCAUCAGAUCUCAUUACAGAUGGUUGUGAGCCACCAUGUGGCUGCUGGGAAUUGAACUCAGGACCUCUGGAAGAACAGUCAGUGCUCUUAAACGCUGAGCCAUCUCUCCAGCCCUAUAAUUACCAUUUUUAAAGAUUUAUUUAUUUCAUGUAUGCGAGUACACUGUCACUGCCUUCAGACACACCAGAACAGGGCAUCGGAUCCCAUUACAGCUACCAUGUGGUUUCUGGGAAUUGAACUCAGGACCUCUGGAAGAAUAGUCAGUGCUCUUAAACGCUGAGCCAUCUCUCCAGCCCUAUAAUUAUCUUUUUUUUUAAUGUGGAAGGGCCCAGCUUAACAUUACAAACUCCAUUUUUUGUUAUCAGACUCCAUUUUAUGAUUAACUUGCCCUCUGCAUGAACUCAGCUAUUAGCAAAACCCCAACUUGUUCCAGGAGCCAUGUCGCUCUGAUAACAAUCAUGAAUCCUCUAGGCAAAUAGCCACUCUGCUCUCGGUAACAACCAAUCAGUCCUCAGGAGAAAGUGCCUAACGUCUAAAGUAGAUCGACUAGACUAGCAACCAUCGUUCACACCAAGCUGAAGUCAUUACUAGCUAAUAGAAGUGCACCAAGCAAAUGUCAACCAAUUAUCUAACUGCCAGGUUGGAAAGUCCCUCACCCAUGGUACCAUGGUAAAUAGGCAAGGCUUGUACCAGCUCAGGACCUUCCACACCUUCCACUGCUGGAGAGGUUGGAGGGUCUGAGCUCGAGCUUGAAUAAAGACUUUUUACUUUUCCAUAUGAGUUUGACUCCUGGUGGUCUGUGGGGACCUCAAGAUCUGGGCAUAACAAAUAUAUAUGUGUGUGUGUGCACACAUGUAUGUGUGUGUGUGUGUAUACACAUGUAUGUGUGUGUAUAUAUAUAUAUAUUUUUUUUUUUUGCCUAAUAAAUCAAGAGGAGGUGUCAGGGGAGAGUCUGGGAGGAGUGAAGGGAGGAGAAACUGUGGUUGGCAUGUAAUAUAUGAGAGAAGAAUAAAAUAUAGUGAAUAGGCACAUGCAUACUGUGCAUGAGCUUCCUCACUCUCUCUUGUACAGACAAAUGCUCACAAAGGUUCACACACACACAGCAACAGUACAACACACCUAUGCACACACACAAAGACCCAUGUAGACAUAUGCAGACACACGUACACACAAAGUAAAGCAUACAGACGAUUGAAACUAUUUUUCCUCUGGAGGAUGAGAGUUUUAGGUAUUUUUGGUGGUCUGGGAUGUGUUCCUUUCCCCUAACCUUGGUUACCUUAGGCAAACAUAGGGAAGCUGAUGGAUCUGGAGCUUCCAGUGGACAUGUUUCUAUUGUAUCGGGAGAAGUCUCUCCCAAAAAUUUGGGUUAUUGAACUUAGACAAAGAAAGGGAAGACGUCUGGCCCACAGCUUCCAGUAAACAAGUUUAGGACACAUCUAGAACAUACCUUGUCAUCCUUGACCAGUCAGUCAGAUAGGUCCCUGCUGGUGGGAGAAAAAAAAAAAAACCUUUCAAUCCUCUGACUGAGGUGGAAAACGUUAGUGAUCUUUAUUAACUGACCAUGGACCAUUUCUCUUUUUCUUUUUCUCUUUUUCUUUUUUUUCCCGGAGCUGGGGACCAUGGACCAUUUCUCUAUCUUCUUCUGUCCAGAAUCUGUCUACCUCCUGGUCCUUCAAUCCCCCCUCUCAGAAGAGGUCACUGUAGCUGCAGUACGGUUUGGAGGAUGGAGACUGUUUUGACUGCUUCAAGCUGACAAAUGGAAUGUGGGAGUGGGCAGUGGUUAGAAUGCCUGCAAGGAAAGUAGGCCUAAGGGAGCGUAGUAAAACGUUGCCAACCGCAACAACAUGGAAAGACCUUUGGAGUUAGCAUGUCUUCGGAGUGAUCUGUGCAGCUGAGGUAACAGCUGUAACAUAUACUGUUAAUAUAACUAUAGUUUCUACUGAAAGCAUUACGACAGUUGUGCAGUCUUUUCCUUAUUAGAGGAAGAGGAUUGGAAAAAAAUAUUCACCCAGAGAAGCCUCUGCUCCAUUAUAUUAACAUUUAUUAUUGGAAUGCAUGAUAUCUUUGUCACGGUUGUGUAUUAGAAGGUGUGGACUGUGUUGAAGGUUAUAUAUGAUUUAUGAGUAUGAAUUUAUGGGGAUUACCAUAUCAUGUAGGAACCCACAGAGGCCAGCAGAGGGCAUUAGAUUCCCCUGAAACUGGAGUUGCAGUUUUCGAGAGGCCCUGUGGGUACUGGGAACUAAACUGUCUUUCUGCAAGGUCAGGAUCGCUCCAGCCCCACUGCCUCUAUAUAUUUAAGCCUUGCUUCAAUGGCCUAAAUUAUUCCUGGUGUUCACAUCCUGGUGUUGAAAUUAAGGAGCCUUAUGAAGGAGUCUAAGUAUCAAGCUGCCUGACAGGAUUCAAGUCCCUGUCGAGUAAGACGUUUUAGUAUAUAAAUACAUACCGAAAGAUAUAUACUUUCUCUUUUCUUCCUGUCUCCUUGUAUUGCCCCCCCCCCCUCCAAACACCUUUCUUUCUGAGAGAGGAGCUCAUGUAGCCCGUGCUGGUCUGAACUUACAAAUAUAUACUUUUCCCCAGUGUCGGUGGUCCAACACAGGAUGCUGGGCAAGCAUUCUGCGGAGUGAGCUACAUCCCCAGAUACACUACAUGCUCUGAAGAGUCAGGAAGGGGUUGGGGAUUUAGCUCAGUGGUAGAGCGCUUGCCUAGCAAGCUCAAGGCCCUGGGUUCGGUUCCCAGCUCCGGAAAAAAAAGAAAAGAAAAAAAGAAAGUCAGGAAAAGAUGGUUCCUUAAAUUUUAGUAUUAUUUUACCUCUGACUCUCUUAUAUAAGAGAAAAGAGAAACGGGGGACAAGAGGACCUCUGUAACUUGUCAAAAGCUUGAGCUCGAAAACUUGCUUUAGGCUGAAGACUUUUCACUCGUUACAAAGCUCGUGUUGGAGGACAGAUAUUCUGGAGGGUCCAUUGCUGUAAGCAUGCAGGAUCAUCUGCCCCACCGCCUGCUUCCAUGAUAGUUUAUCUCCCAUGGUCACCGCCCACGCGGCAUCAUUCGUUCUCAACCCUACCGUCCUACCUCAAGAGGCUAGCUCUAGCAUCUGCUGUGGUCCGCUAAGGGACAAAGCUAGAACUAGCCAUCCUGGUUUCCUCAUUAAGAGGAUCGCAAGCCAGGCAUGACGGCUCAUGCGCACUGUUGCAGUUAGGCUGUGCUAGUCCGUUUACGAGCAGCUUCGACUCCAUCUUGAGGGCGGGAGGAUGAUUGUGUUCCUGGGUGGGCAAGCAGACAGCACCUGACACGACCUGACACGACCGUGCGGCACAGAGUAACAAGGGACUUACCCAUGAACCUUUGCUCUCCCCCUCGCCUCUCAGCCUGAACUGCAGCUUCCUUCCUGAGACAUGAUGUAAUGAUAGUCUUGGUUCCUUGCUCUUACCUAAUGGAGAAGGAACUGAAGAUGUCAAACACAAACACACCGAGACCCUUGACGAGAAAGACCAUGGUUGUGAGGUUCAUGGGAAAUGAAUGGAGCAUCUCUUAUCUGUAUGGCUGAGCGAAUGAGGCACCCGCAGACGAGGUCGUCACUUACAAUUGCAGCUAGGCAUCAGCUCCUACUGUAAAGACCACACAGGAAAUCUAAGGUAAGUAGGGUCAGUUGCUACACUGUUCUCUUAAAGGCAGAUUAGACAGUCUGAGUCCACAGUAGGGUAGGAGUCUGUGAGGUCCAGUAAGAGUUUCCGUCUCUUAGAAUGUCAGAGAUACCUUCAGAAUAUCCCAUUGCCAGAAGAGCUAGUCAUUUACUUCCCACCAGUAACGCACUUUCAUUACAGAUAUGUAAACGCUCCAACAGUAAAUGGAUUUUAAAAGUCAUGGAGCAUUAACAUUAGCCAAAACAAACUGAUUGUGAUUAUUAUUAAUAUCUGACAAAGUAUGGUUAAAAAUAAGAAAUAUCGGGCUGGGGAUUUAGCUCAGUGGUAGAGCGCUUACCUAGGAAGCGCAAGGCCCUGGGUUCGAUCCCCAGCUCCGAAAAAAAGAACCAAAAAAAAAAAAAAAAAAAAAAAGAAAUAUCAGGCUGGGAAAACGGCUCAGCCAUUAAAGGCUAGGCUCACAACCAAAAUAAAAAAAUAUCAGCACCGGGUGGUGGUGGCACAGGCCUUUAAUCCCAGGACUCAGGAGGCAAAGGCAGGCAGAUCUCUGAGUUUAAGGCCAGCCUGGUCUACAGAGUAAGUUCCAGGACAGCCAGGGUUGCGUUGAGAAAUCCUAUCUUGAAACAAACAAACAAACAAAAACCAACAGCCAGCAAUCACCUUUUAAAAAUAUUUUUUAAUUUUAAUUAUGUAUAUAUUCGUGAAUAUGAGUGCAGGUGUCCACGGGGGCCAGAGGCAUCAGGCGCCCCUGGAGCCGGUGUUACUUGGGUCCUCCGUAAGAGAAGCAUUAACCUCUGAAAUGUCUCUAUAGGCCCAGCAAGCACUUUUGGUUCUCGACUUCUUAGUUUAUCCAGUGGGAAGAUGGUCAACAGGCACCUAGUAAUGAGACUUCAGAAUAUAGUAGAUAAAAAUUGAAACGAAUCCAUGAUUGCCAGGGAUGGUGACCCAUGUCUUUAAUCCUAACAUUUAGGAGGCAAAGUCAAGCUGUUCUCUAGGAGUUUGAGACUAGCCUGUACUACAUAGUGCAUUCUGGACCAGCCAGGGCUACAUAGUGAGGUAGUACCUCAAAAGCAAAACAUCCAUUACAUCGAUGACCGAAGAAGAAGGGGCAUAUGACGACUGAGUGGAUGUAUUGUUCUUAAUCUUGUUAUCAACCAACUUAACCUAAUUGGGAUUUGUGGAGUACUCCACUACAAAGGAGAAGACAUUCUUCUCAAAUGGACAUGGAACAGCCACCAACACAGGCUGCAUUUUACUCAGUGAAUUCUGCAACAUCAAAGCCAUACAGAGUAUUUUCCCUGACCAGGUGCUAUUAAAUUGGAAACCAAUAACAAAAGGUUGUUAGAAAAUCCCCAAACAUGUGGGAACUAAGUAGCUAGCUCUAACUUGUACUAUUAAUACAACCAUGAAAUCUCCAAACAUGUGGAAACUAAGUAGCUAGCUCUAACUCGAACUAUUAGCACGAUGGUGAAGAGCAGAAAGUUUGUGUUGAUGGAGGUUAAAGCACAGGUGUAUACUAGUCAGCUCUUCUAGAAGGAAAACCUAGGUUUCUGUUACAGAGUAAACACAGUUAAUAGUCAGUAGCUCUGUUUACAUAAGGGAGAGCUUUUCUUUGAGGUAAUGAUCCACAAGUUGCUAGGAAUCUGGUGGGGCUCAUUCCCUCAACCCCAGCUUCUCAGUCACCUGACUCUGGGACAGAGACUCUGAUAGAUAACAAACACUUUAAUGGGUCUUCAUGGGACCAAUUACUCCUUUUUCUCACUUGCCUCCUAAAACCCCACCAUGAACACCUCUUCCCCAGUCGGGAGCUGCCCAGAGGGGACAGAUGGCUCUGGGGAGUCUCUUGCCCAUGAAAGCCUGGUGGUGAGGGUUCACAGGGAAGGGGGCUGUCUCAUUCCUUACCCUCAUGAGGUCCCCAGAUUUAGUCAAUGGACACAGAGUCUGCCUCUGUUUUCAUUGUUCUUUCGAGGAAGGCUUGUGCUCGGAGCUCCAGUACCAUCAAGUCAUGUGCUAGGAUUUGGCUUACAGAACAUCUCAUCUGGUUUUGAUGACCACAAGGUAGCCCAGCUGUGUGAGAAUUAUCACCUACUGGCGUAUCUAUAGGAGGGAAGAGACUGAUAUCAGAACACUGAGAAUUCUGGCAGGUUAGGAAAGGAAGUGUGGUUAGAAGGGUCUGUGUCCUUGUGUAAACACCUCACAGCUCAGUGUUCCUUAAAGUUCAAAGAUCACCUGUUGUAAAAGCAUCAGACUUCCGGGUUCAUCUGUAGACCUAUUGGAUCAGAUUUCUUGCAGUUGAAAACUGGGAUCUUACAUAUAGUAAGGCUAUCUAGUGACCUUUUGUUAGGAGUCACCAUCGCCUAAGGAUCUUAAAGGUCACUGGCUGUUCUGCUGGCUCAUGUUCUUCAUAUAUCCUUUUGCUCUUUGGUCUUCAGGGGGAGCAUUGAGAAGUCAGGUAUGAAUAAAAUCCCUUCCAACUCCUUCGUCUACUUCUAAUCUUUCCUUUUUCGUCUUUCUUUUAUGUGUAUGGAUGUUUUGCCCGAGUGUAUUAUCUAUGAACCACUUUUGUGUCCAGAGGUGCCAGAAAAGGGCAUUGGAUCCUCUAGAACUGGAAUUACAGACUGUUGUAAGCUACUAUGUAGACUCUGGGAAUCGAGCCUGGGUCUUCUGGAAG